rnacentral:lncRNA from 1 species
CCAGGUUGGAUCGUGGAACACUCCUGCCAGCAGGUUAGCAGCCUGACCUGGUCAGGGCCUGGGCCCAGAUCACCAGCGUUGGUGGAGAUGAGGAGCUGCAAACUGAGAGAAAGGAGCCAUGACCUGUGGGGUGGUGGGAGAAGAGCCCCACGGGAGUUUGGAAUGAGAAUGGAAGAACUGAAGCUGUGGAAGUGGUGAAUGACAGGCUCUUGGAGGGCGGGAGGGCUCUGAGCCUGUGUUGUGAGUAGGAAUGGGAGGAGGACGCGGUCCUGCGGGGAGGAACUGGUGUCUCUUAUGCUGAGGGAGGUCUGCAUCUGUGGGCAGUUCAUUCAGCGGUGGCCUCUAGGGGUUGGGUUUGUGCGUACCGAGUCCUUGAGGGUACAGGGCUCUGGCGGGGCAACCCUGAGACUGUGGCUACAGGGGCGGAGUUUUAAGGGGUGGAGCGUCUGGUGGGCGUGGUCGUUCCGGAAGCCUCCCGACCCCGCCCCGGGCAAACUUUUCCCGAGCCGUGGGGGCGGGCA